UACGUAGGGCGCAAGCGUUGUCCGGAAUUAUUGGGCGUAAAGAGCUCGUAGGCGGCUUGUCACGUCGGGUGUGAAAGCCCGGGGCUUAACCCCGGGUCUGCAUUCGAUACGGGCUGGCUAGAGUGUGGUAGGGGAGAUCGGAAUUCCUGGUGUAGCGGUGAAAUGCGUAGAGAUCAGGAGGAACACCCGUGGCGAAGGCGGCUCUCUGGGUCCGCCCUGACGCUGAGGCGCGAAAGCGUGGGGAGCGAACGGG
rnacentral:rRNA from 1 species